AUGUUCACUGCGCUGAACUCCACAGUCUCCAUUCGCAUCAAAUACUGCAGCUUGUGGCUUUGUGGCAUCAUGUCCCUGCUCAUGUGGAGCGCUCGAAUGUGGCUUGUAAUUUGGAUUCUGCUCCUUGUUCUCUUUGCCAGCAUCGCUGGUCACUUUACUUCUUGUCGCCCACAGGCUCGGUGUCUGAAUUGGGUUGCUUCAGCACCUUCCCUCCCACAGCCGCCCUUGGUUGGGAUGUUGGUCUUCUCUUGUCAACAAUGCCUUCGAAUGAAGCCAGUUGCUGUGACAUUCUGGGUGUGCUUGGUUGUCUUGGUUGAGAUGUUGAUCUUUUCGGAGUGCCUUUCCUAUUGGCCUCACUGUCAGCAGUCUUCGUUCUUCCAGCCAUCUCUUAACUGGCAUCAAUUUAUCAGCAUCGUCCUUCCAUUCGUUUGCUGUUGUUGUCGCCACACGGUUGACGUAGACUUUAGCUCGAGCCAACUCCCUCUCGAGCGUCUUCUUCUCCUCCUACAAGUUAAAGAUCGUUAUGAGACAAACUAG
rnacentral:rRNA from 1 species